UACGUAGGGGGCAAGCGUUGUCCGGAAUCAUUGGGCGUAAAGAGCGUGUAGGCGGCUCGGUAAGUCCGCUGUGAAAGUCCAGGGCUCAACCCUGGAAUGCCGGUGGAAACUGUCGAGCUUGAGUCCGGAAGAGGCGAGUGGAAUUCCUGGUGUAGCGGUGAAAUGCGUAGAUAUCUGGAGGAACACCGGUGGCGAAGGCGGCAUCCUGGACCAACACUGACGCUGAUGAGCGAAAGCCAGGGGAGCAAACGGG
rnacentral:rRNA from 1 species